CUCGAGAAUAGAUCAACACCGAAGCGAAUUGCGCUAUUUCCUGNGACUUNCCGAAUUCAGUGCAUCAUCGAAUCUUUGCACGCACCUUGCG
rnacentral:rRNA from 1 species